rnacentral:rRNA from 1 species
UAAAGGAAGCGAUUCCGGCUACGGAUGGUCAUGCGUCGCAUUAGCUAGUUGGCGGGGUAACGGCCCACCAAGGCGACGAUGCGUAGGGGUUCUGAGAGGAAGGUCCCCCACACUGGUACUGAGACACGGACCAGACUCCUACGGGAGGCAGCAGUGAGGAAUAUUGGUCAAUGGCCGCAGGGCUGAACCAGCCAAGUCGCGUGAGGGAUGACGGUCCUAUGGAUUGUAAACCUCUUUUGUCAGGGAGCAAAGGACGCCACGUGUGGCGUUUUGCGAGUACCUGAAGAAAAAGCAUCGGCUAACUCCGUGCCAGCAGCCGCGGUAAUACGGAGGAUGCGAGCGUUAUCCGGAUUUAUUGGGUUUAAAGGGUGCGCAGGCGGAAUGUCAAGUCAGCGGUAAAAUUUCGGGGCUCAACCCCGUCGUGCCGUUGAAACUGGCGUUCUUGAGUGAGCGAGAAGUAUGCGGAAUGCGUGGUGUAGCGGUGAAACGCAUAGAUAUCACGCAGAACUCCGAUUGCGAAGGCAGCAUACCGGCGCUCAACUGACGCUCAUGCACGAAAGCGUGGGUAUCGAACAGGAUUAGAUACCCUGGUAGUCCACGCAGU